CUGGCGACUGGAGGAUAAAGCAGUAGAGGAUGGAUGGAUAGUUUCACAGAACUUAAUGUGACACUAAUGUACAAUGUUUAAAAUGUGAGGAUGUGCUUUUCUUUAAUGUAGUGGUAAUGGUUGACCAACUAUUAUUUGUUAACCCGUUAAGGGAAAUUGUCCUCACGGCUCUGCCUCUUCCAGGCAGCGCUUGGACAACAGAGAAGACAGGAGGGAUUGAUGUAUGAUUUGAUUGAUUCCAAUCUCUAUUUCACUGGAUUUUUUGCUUCAUUAUUUCCACCAGACCACCUUAAUUAUUCAUGGAUUUCAACAAAACUCAAACUUAAAAAAGUGACACAAUGAUCAAAAAACAUUAUGGGUCGUAUGACCCUAUUAUUUAUUUGCACAUAAAACCCUAAACUUAACUGCUAUGUAAAAAAACACCAAAUUAUGAGUGUUCAGUGCAAUUUAAGGACAACAUUGUCCAUGUUGGCUUUUCAAGGUUCAUUCAAGUUCAUUUUCCAUCUGCUGAUUAAGAUCAGCUGAUAUGAUGAAGAGCCACAGAACACUAACUAAAUGGAUUUGCCUUUUCAUUUGUUCUCAAGACCAAGUAUAAACUUUGAUCAUCAGUGACUUUGUGAAUUCUUGUAAAUACAAUUAUACUGAAGACAUUGUAGGCAAGUAGAGAAAAAAUAAAAAAGCAUUUGACAUUUUCAUUUCUUGGCAACAGGCUUUAAGUGUAUUCACCCUAAUCAAGAAUAAAAAAAUUAUAUUGUGACAUUAUGUAAAAGAUUGACACAGAUUUGAGAAAGACUUUCAGCUUUGACAUUUUCCUUACAUCACUGAGAUUGUGAGAUGUAUUUUUUUAUUAUUAUUUCUUAUGUUGGAGCUUCUGGGUUGGCCUUCUUAGCAGAGUACAGAGUAUAAAAGCUGAUGAACACUCUGGUAAGUCGAUUUUUCCAGUUAGACAACUAGAGUCAGUUGUCACACAUUUACAUUGAAAAACUUACUGUUACAGACAUUAAAUAAAACAUGAUUCUUUUUCCGUGUUUUGAAUAAAAAAACAUGUAGUUCGAUUGUGCCAUAAAUUAGUAAUUUUCAAGUCGUAAUGAAAAGUUUAAAAAAGUUUCAGUCAAUUUAGAAUAUCCAAUUAGCCUAAUCAUCAACCUGCAUGUUUGGACAGUGGGAGGAAGCCGGGGCACCCGCAGAGAAGAUGCGCACACAUGGGGAGAACAUGCAGAUUCCACACAGAAAAGCCCUCAGUUGAACCGUGAUUAUGGUACAUCACCCUAUACUUCUGUCUGGACCACUUUCUGAUGAACCAGGGCAACCAUAACUGAUAUAAUUAAGAUGCGUCUACAAACCUAAUCAAAUGUGAUUUAGACUAACCUGAGCCUCUCCUGCGGUUUGCUUCAGACGAGAGCAGAAGCGGCGGAGCGGUUAGCUGGGUGUUCUUGAGCUUCUUUGGUCGCCCCACCCGCCCAUUGCUCUUGCCCUUCCUGACAUACAGCAGCGUAGGUGUGGGGUUCAGAGCAGGAGAAGAAACAGGAUCAGGAGCAGAAGCAGGGGUCGGAGACUCUGUCUUCUCCUUUACUUGCUCUCCAUCAGACUCUCCCUCUGAGUACGAGUCAGCAGAGUUUCCUGACAUAACUGGACAGAAGGAAGCGGGGGUAUGAAAAAAGAGGAGAUAGGAGUAGGAGUAGAACAGGAACAAUUUAAUUAGUUUCAUCUGUUACCAAUCUCUGUGUCGCUAAUAAAACUCCAUUCACACACAAA